rnacentral:rRNA from 1 species
AUUGAACGCUGGCGGCAUGCUUUACACAUGCAAGUCGAGCGGUAGAGAGGUGCUUGCACCUCUUGAGAGCGGCGGACGGGUGAGUAAUGCCUAGGAAUCUGCCUGGUAGUGGGGGAUAACGUCCGGAAACGGACGCUAAUACCGCAUACGUCCUACGGGAGAAAGCAGGGGACCUUCGGGCCUUGCGCUAUCAGAUGAGCCUAGGUCGGAUUAGCUAGUUGGUGAGGUAAUGGCUCACCAAGGCGACGAUCCGUAACUGGUCUGAGAGGAUGAUCAGUCACACUGGAACUGAGACACGGUCCAGACUCCUACGGGAGGCAGCAGUGGGGAAUAUUGGACAAUGGGCGAAAGCCUGAUCCAGCCAUGCCGCGUGUGUGAAGAAGGUCUUCGGAUUGUAAAGCACUUUAAGUUGGGAGGAAGGGUUGUAGAUUAAUACUCUGCAAUUUUGACGUUACCGACAGAAUAAGCACCGGCUAACUCUGUGCCAGCCGCCGCGGUAAGAC